UACGGAGGGUGCAAGCGUUAAUCGGAAUUACUGGGCGUAAAGCGCACGCAGGCGGUUUGUUAAGUCAGGUGUGAAAUCCCCGGGCUUAACCUGGGAACUGCAUCUGAUACUGGCAAGCUUGAGUCGUGUAGAGGGGGGUAGAAUUCCAGGUGUAGCGGUGAAAUGCGUAGAGAUGUGGAGGAAUACCGAUGGCGAAGGCAGCCCCCUGGACGAAUACUGACGCUCAGGUGCGAAAGCGUGGGGAGCAAACAGG
rnacentral:rRNA from 1 species